UGUCCAGCCCCCGGCUGCACCUGCCCUGCCCGGUCUGGGAAACAACUGCACUGGAGGAGCAAACCGACCCAAUGAGGGAGGUUUUUUCCAUUCAAAACUGAGGAAUCAUGAAACAGAGACUCUUUGGCCUUGUGUACCCAAAAUAUGGGUCUCUGGCAUGUCCCCUCAACCAAAGGAGGCUCCUCUGUCAGCAGCCAAGGAAACCAGGUCGGCUGCAGAUGUGUCCCUGGAGAAACGAGGCCAGUGUGGAUUCUCUGCUGUCUAAUACAGGCUCUUAAAGAAACGAGGAGAUACCUGGGGAGGGGAUACGUUAUUGAACACAGCGCCAAAAGCCCAGCUGCUCCCGAGCCACCAACGGCCAUUGAAUCGCUCUGGUUGUCACCUGGGUUUUAAGCGGGCCGUGAGGCACCAGCGGGCCCUGGGCCGGAGAGCAUCGACGUGGCACAGUGAGUGGGGUCUCUUUUUCAGUUUGCAAACGAGAAAGGAUCCUGUUUUCCGUUCAAAGCAUGUCAUUUCAUUCCCCUUGCAAACGCCCCUCCGGCCGCACCGGGGCAGGCAGAGCACCGUGCCGCCGGGGAAGACUUGGUCCCGCUCUGCCGAGGGGGACCCUCUGCUUCGCUCUAUGCUGAAGGCGAUUUCCCAGCAAUUCCCCCACCCGCAGCCCGUGCCGGCUGGGCAGCACACGCUCCAUCUCGGCCCCGCAAAGCUGGGUGCAAAGCACCUGCCCGGGACGCGUGACCCCCCCGUCUGGGGGUCUGAGUCCGGACCCCCGGCCCAACUCGGUGCGCCGACGCGCUCUUGGCACUCUGCGCCGGGGCGAUUUAACACCACGUCUGUGUUAAGACCUUUGGGCCCACAAGGCCGGUCAGCCCUGUCCCCUCUCCAUCCCCGCUAGAUCGGGCCUUAAAAGCCUCCAAGAGUCGCAGGCGC
rnacentral:lncRNA from 1 species